rnacentral:rRNA from 1 species
GAUGAACGCUAGCUACAGGCUUAACACAUGCAAGUCGAACGAGAAGAGAUGAGAAGCUUGCUUCUUAUUGAUUCGAGUGGCAAACGGGUGAGUAACGCGUAAGCAACCUGCCCUUCAGAUGGGGACAACAGCUGGAAACGGCUGCUAAUACCGAAUACGUUCUUUUGUCGCAUGGCAGAGGGAAGAAAGGGAGGCUCUUCGGAGCUUUCGCUGAAGGAGGGGCUUGCGUCUGAUUAGCUAGUUGGAGGGGUAACGGCCCACCAAGGCGACGAUCAGUAGCCGGUCUGAGAGGAUGAACGGCCACAUUGGGACUGAGACACGGCCCAG